UACGUAGGCAGCGAGCGUUGUUCGGAUUUACUGGGCGUAAAGGGCGCGUAGGCGGUCAGCACAAGUCAGUUGUGAAAUCUCCGAGCUUAACUCGGAAAGGUCAACUGAUACUGUGCGACUAGAGUGCAGAAGGGGCAACUGGAAUUCUCGGGUGUAGCGGUGAAAUGCGUAGAUAUCGAGAGGAACACCCGUAGCGAAGGCGGCACUCUGGGCCGGUACUGACGCUGAGGAGCGAAAGCGUGGGGAGCAAACAGG
rnacentral:rRNA from 1 species